GACGAACGCUGGCGGCGUGCUUAACACAUGCAAGUCGAACGGAAAGGCCCUGCUUUUGUGGGGUGCUCGAGUGGCGAACGGGUGAGUAACACGUGAGUAACCUGCCCUUUACUUUGGGAUAACUUCAGGAAACUGGGGCUAAUACCGGAUAGGAGCUCCUGCUGCAUGGUGGGGGUUGGAAAGUUUCGGCGGUUGGGGAUGGACUCGCGGCUUAUCGGCUUGUUGGUGGGGUAGUGGCUUACCAAGGCUUUGACGGGUAGCCGGCCUGAGAGGGUGACCGGCCACAUUGGGACGGAGAUACGGCCCAGACUCCUACGGGAGGCAGCAGUGGGGAAUAUUGCACAAUGGGCGGAAGCCUGAUGCAGCAACGCCGCGUGCGGGAUGACGGCCUUCGGGUUGUAAACCGCUUUCGCCUGUGACGAAGCGUGAGUGACGGUAAUGGGUAAAGAAGCACCGGCUAACUACGUG
rnacentral:rRNA from 1 species